UACGUAGGGUGCAAGCGUUUGUCCGGAAUUAUUGGGCGUAAAGAGCUCGUAGGCGGUUUGUCGCGUCUGCUGUGAAAACGCGAGGCUCAACCUCGCGCCUGCAGUGGGUACGGGCAGACUAGAGUGUGGUAGGGGAGAUUGGAAUUCCUGGUGUAGCGGUGGAAUGCGCAGAUAUCAGGAGGAACACCGAUGGCGAAGGCAGAUCUCUGGGCCAUUACUGACGCUGAGGAGCGAAAGCGUGGGGAGCGAACAGG
rnacentral:rRNA from 1 species